CAGGAAACAGCUUGCUGUAUCGCUGACGAGUGGCGGACGGGUGAGUAAUGUCUGGGAAACUGCCUGAUGGAGGGGGAUAACUACUGGAAACGGUAGCUAAUACCGCAUAACGUCGCAAGACCAAAGAGGGGGACCCUCGGGCCUCUUGCCAUCGGAUGUGCCCAGAUGGGAUUAGCUUGUUGGUGGGGUAACGGCUCACCAAGGCGACGAUCCCUAGCUGGUCUGAGAGGAUGACCAGCCACACUGGAACUGAGACACGGUCCAGACUCCUACGGGAGGCAGCAGUGGGGAAUAUUGCACAAUGGGCGCAAGCCUGAUGCAGCCAUGCCGCGUGUAUGAAGAAGGCCUUCGGGUUGUAAAGUACUUUCAGCGGGGAGGAAGGGAGUAAAGUUAAUACCUUUGCUCAUUGACGUUACCCGCAGAAGAAGCACCGGCUAACUCCGUGCCAGCAGCCGCGGUAAUACGGAGGGUGCAAGCGUUAAUCGGAAUUACUGGGCGUAAAGCGCACGCAGGCGGUUUGUUAAGUCAGAUGUGAAAUCCCCGAGCUCAACCUGGGAACUGCAUCUGAUACUGGCAAGCUUG
rnacentral:rRNA from 1 species